UGUUUAGAGCUCUCUUAUAAUCUAAUUAACUAUACACGGUCUCCUCCCACGGUCUACCCUCAUACACGGGACUAGAUCUUCCUCCUCUCCCCUCCCACGGUCUCCUCUUCUUCCGUUAUCUCUCUCUCGCCCCAACCCCAGAUCGAAGAAAAAUCCCUCCACAAUCUUCCUUUGGAUUAUCUCUCUCCCCCAAUUAAAAAACAAAUGGAUUAUAUCUCUCAAACGGAAGGCAUGGAUUCCAUGGGCUCAAGGAGCUUUUUGCAUCAAUAUAAUUUUCCUCAUGUGUUUUGGAUGCCUCAUGUUGAUCAGAUCGGAGGACACCAACUAUACCCAUACUCCACGAUCUUUUCCUCUUGAUUAUCUCUCUUUCCCCCAAUGUAAAACGAAUGGAUCAAAUAGAAGACAUGGAUUCCGUGUGGUCAAGGAGCUUUAUGCAUCAAAAUAAUUUUCCUCAUCUACAUCAGGUACAAUUUUGGAUUCCACAUGGAGAUCAUGUCGGGGCACACCAACUAUACCCAUCGUUACUGCUCAAGAAUCUCCCACUCUGUACGAAGGUUGUCUCUGGUCAGUUGAUGUCAUUGUUCCAUUGGUUUGUUACUCUUUUUUUCAGAUUAAAGCAUUGGAUUUGUAGCUUCCCUUGGACUAAACAAUAUAAGUUCAAAAUUAUGGCAUGAGACAUGGGGAUGCAAUUAAACUCAAUGGAGAAGGAAACCUGGAAAGGGAUGAACAGAGUAAUUAGUCUGUGUGAUGCCAUUAACCUUGACAAUAAUGAACUUAUGGGACUUGGAAUGAUACUAGAUGAAGAGCUGGCCAUCGUCGUGAUGGUGGGUUCAUAACGCUGCUGCUUCUUAGGUGGAACGUCGUCGCUUCACGGCUGGUCGAAAUGCAGCGCCAAUGCAAAGGCAGGUUUAGCCAGCCCUGAAGUUCUGCAUCUAUGCGUACAUGUGAUGGCUUUCUAGGGCGUCACGUACAUAUAUGGUUUCCAGGCAAGUCAAUUCAGUUCGUUUUGAACAAAUGGAUUGUAUCUCUCAAACGGAAGGCAUGGAUUCCAUGGGCUCAAGGAGCUUUUUGCAUCAAUAUAAUUUUCCUCAUGUGUUUUGGAUGCCUCAUGGAGAUCAGAUCGGAGGACACCAACUAUACCCAUACUCCACGAUCUUUUCCUCUUGAUUAUCUCUCUUUCCCCCAAUGUAAAAUGAAUGGAUCAAAUAGAAGACAUGGAUUCCGUGUGGUCGAGGAGCUUUAUGCAUCAAAAUAAUUUUCCUCAUCUACAUCAGGUACAAUUUUGGAUUCCACAUGGAGAUCAUGUCGGGGCACACCAACUAUACCCAUUGUUACUGCUCAAGAAUCUCCCACUAUGUACGAAGGUUGUCUCUGUAUAAGUUCAAAAUUAUGGCGUGAGACAUGGGGAUGCAAUUAAACUCAAUGGAGAAGGAAACCUGGAAAGGGAUGAACAGAGUAAUUAGUCUGUGUGAUGCCAUUAACCUUGACAACAAUGAACUUAUGGGACUUGGAAUGAUACUAGAUGAAGAGUUGGCCACCGUCGUGAUGGUGGGUUCAUAACGCUGCUACUUCUUGGGUGGAACGUCGUCGCUUCACGGCUGGUCGAAAUACAGCGCCAAUGCAAAGG